rnacentral:pre_miRNA from 1 species
UUUGGAUCACCGUGCUUCCUUACUUCCCAUAUGUGUCCUUGAAAGCGGUAUGGAAUGUAAAGAAGUAUGGAGUUCCGAU